UUGUCACCUGGAGUUCUCCGCAAAUCACUUCAGUUGCUAGCUUUUGCCUCACAGUUGCAUUGGCACUAUUUUAAAAGUGCGCAUUAUAGGAAUAAGAGAAGUCUGCGUAGUGAAGUGUUUGGGGAACUCUGGGUGGCAA
rnacentral:pre_miRNA from 1 species